UACGGAGGGAGCAAGCGCUACUCGGAAUUAUUGGGCGUAAAGGGCGCGUAGGCGAUUCGAUAAGUCUCAUGUGAAAUCCCAGGGCCUAACCCUGGAAUGGCAUGGGAUACUGUUGGAUUUGAGUUCCGGAGAGGAAGGCAGAAUUCCCGGUGUAGCGGUGAAAUGCGUAGAUAUCGGGAGGAAUACCAGUGGCGAAGGCGACUGACCUGGACGGAAGAUUGACGCUGAGGUGCGAAAGCGCGGGGAGCAAACGGG
rnacentral:rRNA from 1 species